AUGUUAUCUUUUUCUUCCAUUAGUCAGAUCGCUUCUUCUUCUCUACUUCUCCCCAACUCUUUUUUCUCCUUCCUUUACAUUUCUUCUUCCUGCACAACCCGCUAUGAUCCAGAGGGACCACUUUUUUUGCCCUGUCUCUGCAAAGGAGAUCCACAGUGCACUUUUUUAUACAUCUUUUAUUCCAUUCUGUUCUUCCUUUUUUUCUCGCCUUAUUUGUUUUUAUUUUUCUUUCUACGCCUUCAACCUUUACCUAUUGCCAGGUUCGAAGAGUUUCACUUGACAGGGGCGUCUGUUCCCCAGCCCCACAUUCACCGGGGGAACUCGAGAGCAGAUGACAUCCCUAGCUGUCAGUGUGCUGCCCCAGGUCUCCCCUCAGGGCGAUUCUGUUUCCCCCAGAGCAGGACAGAAGUGUUGAGGAAGUUGGUGGAAAGGAGAUUGCAGGAUGCUGCUGCCAGAGCCGGUGCAGCAGCCGUGCCCCGCCGAGCCCCGCAGCAGCCCAGGGGUGUGUAUGCAGCUGCCUGUCUGCACUUGAAAGAAGUCGUGGGGCUGUGUACACGGUUCCAUCCCAGGCUCUGGGCGUGCACCCUGCACUGGCCAGUGCUAAUAGGCUUUCAUCUCUGCCCAUUUUGUCAACAUCCUCCAGAAAACACGAGUCAACUGACAGAGUGACACUGUUGGAGGACCUAUUCUUGAGAGUACCAAGGGUGUCUGGGUGUCUCAUCUGGCUUCUGACUUUUUUCCCCCACUGAAAAUCAUGAAACAUCAUUACUAUUCACAAGAGUCUGCCUUCAUGUCUUGGGUUUCCAGAAUUUGAAGCCACAUUGAUGUAUAUGUAUAUGUACAAGUGACAAAAGUGCUGUGGUGAGUCUUAUCUGGCAGCUGAAUUGCUGAAUUGCUGAAAAGGAGCAAAAUGAAGCAAUCCAUUUGCUGUAUCUGCAUCACACAACUCCCCAUUCAGGGUUUUUAAAAAGAGCUGUCGAAAGAAAGAGAUCUUUGGGAUCUGCAGAGGUACAUGAAAAGUUGUCUUAUUCCUAAAGAAGCAACCAAAAACAAAGUAAUGAGCAAAACCAAUUUAAAUGAAAUAUGUAAAUAUUGGUUCCUGGACCUUACACAGUCAAUUUACAGAGACAGGCAAGAGAUUAAG
rnacentral:lncRNA from 1 species